GGGGAGGAGACAUCAGCUCCACGUGAGCCCCAGCGUUUCCCUCAGAGUGGUCCUGAGACCAUCACCAUCAUGGAAGGAGGAAGACCUACAGAUCUGCUAGGAUGUUGGUGGCUCUGGCUGAUGCAAGCCCAGCAGGUGUUCUUCGCCUAGCUGUCGCUGUGAUGAACAGCUUCCUGUGGCCGAGCAGAUAACAGAACACACACAGGUUAACAGCAAGAGUGACAGCUGAGCUCCUGACAUCAGCAAGGGUUGGCUAGCUGGCACCAGCCAGGCCUUCUCUCUUUCCCGGGAGGCAACCCAGCCCCUGCAGCCCAGACUGUCCAGCCAAGAGCAUCAGGUGUCUCGGAGGGAGCAUUAGCACAGAGAGAGGACACUUGGAAGGAGCUGGAGCAGAGACCACUGAGACCUUACCCACAGCAAGACGCUGUUAUGGAAGGUGCAGCUGCCAAGGUGCAUGGAGACCACAUCUGUGGUCAAAGGAGGCUACAUCUUGAGCUGUCAGAGAACUUGGAAGUACUACUCAAAAGGUGUUGUUUCUGCAGGCAGCAAAAUGUAAGAGUUAUGGGGACAUGGAGACUUAUACCAAGGGUCCAGAAAGCUGAAAAGGAUCAGAUUGCCUGCAAGGAAACUGUAGUGGUUUGGAUAAGAAUACCCUGCUAUUUCUUUUGGGCCAUGGACACUCUCCAUCCUGCUCAGCCCCGGAGAGACUCCAUCGGGAUGGAGACCUCUCUCCUCUCGCCUGGACCUGCUGGCAAGGAGCCAGCACAGUGCCAUGCUUGUUUGCCUGCUACCAUAAUGGCUAUGGACUCUACUCCCUCUCUGACACUCUAAGCAAACCCCCAAUUCAACUCUCUCUUUUAUAAGUUGCCUCGGUGAUGGUGUCUCUUCACAACAAUAGAAAAAUAACUAAGAGACCUUAAGCAGUCAUUGUUUGAAGCUGUGGGAGGGAAGCCUAUGUUGAAAUGGAGAUCACAAGUAUGUUGGAUAUGCCAAGACCAAAGGAUAUCUGCCAAGAAAAGCUGCAAGCACGGAGUAUGGCUGGCCUAAGAGAGAGGCUCUGUGUGCUGUAGGAGGCGGAACUGAGGGGCCUGCGCUGCUCAAGGCUACUAGAGUCCAGAUGACACCGCCACGAACCUCAGGUGUCUGACAUGGAAUUACAGCUUUGUUCUCUCCCUGCUUGCUUCGGUCUUGCAUUGGUCUGAUCUUUACUGUGGUGGCCCAUUUUUUCCAUUUGGAAUGGGAAUGCUGGAUCUGUGCUAUUAUAUACAGAAACAUGUGGCUUACUGUUUGAUUUGAUGGAGCUCACUGUUCAGAUUGUCUU